rnacentral:rRNA from 1 species
UGGGGAAUAUUGGACAAUGGGGGAAACCCUGAUCCAGCCAUGCCGCGUGUGUGAAGAAGGCCUUAGGGUUGUAAAGCACUUUCAGUGGGGAGAAAGGUUGUUUACUUAAUACGUGAGCAAAUUGAUGUUACCCACAGAAGAAGCACCGGCUAACUCCGUGCCAGCAGCCGCGGUAAUACGGAGGGUGCAAGCGUUAAUCGGAAUUACUGGGCGUAAAGCGCACGUAGGCGGUUUGAUAAGCCAGCCGUGAAAGCCCCGGGCUCAACCUGGGAAUUGCGGUUGGAACUGUCAAGCUCGAGUACAGUAGAGGGGUGUGGAAUUUCAGGUGUAGCGGUGAAAUGCGUAGAUAUCUGAAGGAACAUCAGUGGCGAAGGCGACACCCUGGACUGAUACUGACGCUGAGGUGCGAAAGCGUGGGGAGCAAACAG